AACGAACGCUGGCGGCAUGCCUAACACAUGCAAGUCGAACGAGACCUUCGGGUCUAGUGGCGCACGGGUGCGUAACGCGUGGGAACCUGCCCUUAGGUUCGGAAUAACUCCCCGAAAGGGGUGCUAAUACCGGAUAAUGUCUUCGGACCAAAGAUUUAUCGCCUUUGGAUGGGCCCGCGUUGGAUUAGCUAGUUGGUAGGGUAAAAGCCUACCAAGGCGACGAUCCAUAGCUGGUCUGAGAGGAUGAUCAGCCACACUGGGACUGAGACACGGCCCAGACUCCUGCGGGAGGCAGCAGUGGGGAAUAUUGGACAAUGGGCGAAAGCAUGAUCCAGCAAUGCCGCGUGAGUGAUGAAGGCCUUAGGGUUGUAAAGCUCUUUUACCCGGGAUGAUAAUGACAGUACCGGGAGAAUAAGCUCCGGCUAACUCCGUG
rnacentral:rRNA from 1 species